CCUACGGGAGGCAGCAGUGGGGGAUAUUGCACAAUGGGGGAAACCCUGAUGCAGCGACGCCGCGUGAGUGAAGAAGUAUUUCGGUAUGUAAAGCUCUAUCAGCAGGGAAGAAAAUGACAGUACCUGACCAAGAAGCCCCGGCUAACGACGGGCCAGCAGCCGCGGGAAUACGUAGGGGGCAAGCGUUAUCCGGAUUUACGGGGUGUAAAGGGAGCGUAGACGGUUAUGUAAGUCUGGAGUGAAAGCCCGGGGCCCAACCCCGGGACUGCUUUGGAAACUGUGUAACUGGAGUACAGGAGGGGCAGGCGGAAUUCCUGGUGUAGCGGUGACAUGCGUAGAUAUCAGGCGGAACACCGGCGGCGACGGCGGCCUGCUGGACUGCAACUGACGUUGAGGCUCGAAAGCGUGGGGCGCAAACAGGAUUAGAUACCCUAGUAGUC
rnacentral:rRNA from 1 species